rnacentral:rRNA from 1 species
GAUGAACGCUGGCGGCGUGCCUAAUACAUGCAAGUAGAACGCUGAAGGAAGGAGCUUGCUCUUUCCGGAUGAGUUGCGAACGGGUGAGUAACGCGUAGGUAACCUGCCUGGUAGCGGGGGAUAACUAUUGGAAACGAUAGCUAAUACCGCAUAACAGUUGAUGUUGCAUGACAACUAUUUGAAAGGGGCAAUUGCUCCACUACCAGAUGGACCUGCGUUGUAUUAGCUAGUUGGUGAGGUAACGGCUCACCAAGGCGACGAUACAUAGCCGACCUGAGAGGGUGAUCGGCCACACUGGGACUGAGACACGGCCCAGACUCCUACGGGAGGCAGCAGUAGGGAAUCUUCGGCAAUGGACGGAAGUCUGACCGAGCAACGCCGCGUGAGUGAAGAAGGUUGUCGGAUCGUAAAGCUCUGUUGUAAGAGAAGAAAGAGUGUGAGAGUGGAAAGUUCACACUGUGACGGUAUCUUACCAGAAAGGGACGGCUAACUACGUG